rnacentral:rRNA from 1 species
GUAGGUGGCAGGCGUUGUCCGGAAUUAUUGGGCGUAAAGCGCGCGCAGGCGGUUCUUUAAGUCUGAUGUGAAAGCCCACGGGCUCAACCGUGGAGGGUCAUUGGAAACUGGAGAACUUGAGUACAGAAGAGGAAAGCGGAAUUCCACGUGUAGCGGUGAAAUGCGUAGAGAUGUGGAGGAACACCAGUGGCGAAGGCGGCUUCCUGGUCUGUAACUGACGCUGAGGCGCGAAAGCGUGGGGAGCAAACAGGAUUAGAUACCCUGGUAGUCCACGCCGUAAACGAUGAGUGCUAAGUGUUAGGGGGUUUCCGCCCCUUAGUGCUGCAGCUAACGCAUUAAGCACUCCGCCUGGGGAGUACGGCCGCAAAGGCUG